GACGGAAGGUGCAAGCGUUGUUCGGAUUUAUUGGGCGUAAAGAGCUCGUAGGCGGUUUGUCGCGUCUGCUGUGAAAACCGGAGGCUCAACCUCCGGCCUGCAGUGGGUACGGGCAAACUAGAGUGCGGUAGGGGAGAUUGGAAUUCCUGGUGUAGCGGUGGAAUGCGCAGAUAUCAGGAGGAACACCGAUGGCGAAGGCAGAUCUCUGGGCCGUAACUGACGCUGAGGAGCGAAAGCGUGGGGAGCGAACAGG
rnacentral:rRNA from 1 species